UACGUAGGGGGCAAGCGUUAUUCGGAAUUACUGGGCGUAAAGCGUGCGUAGGCGGCUGUGUAAGUCAGGGAUGAAAUCCCGAGGCUUAACUUCGGAACUGCCUUUGAAACUGCUCAGCUUGAGGGUGGUAGAGGGGGGUGGAAUUCCCCGUGGAGCGGUGAAAUGCGUAGAGAUCUGGAGGAACACCUGAGGCGAAGGCGGCUCUCUGGGCUAUGACUGACGCUGAGUUACGAAAGCUUGGGGAUCAAACAGG
rnacentral:rRNA from 1 species